CCGUCGAUAGCUCAGUUGGCAGAGCGGAGGACUGUAGAUCCUUAGGUCGCUGGUUCAAAUCCGGCUCGACGGA
rnacentral:tRNA from 1 species